GCGGGGUUGGUGCAGCGGCCAGCAUGCCAGGCUUCCAACCUGACGACAAGGGUUCGAGUCCCUUACCCCGCUCCA
rnacentral:tRNA from 1 species